GACGAACGCUGGCGGCGUGCUUAACACAUGCAAGUCGAACGGAAAGGCCCUGCUUUUGUGGGGUGCUCGAGUGGCGAACGGGUGAGUAACACGUGAGUAACCUGCCCUUGACUUUGGGAUAACUUCAGGAAACUGGGGCUAAUACCGGCUAGGAGCUCCUGCUGCAUGGUGGGGGUUGGACAGUUUCGGCGGUUGGGGAUGGACUCGCGGCUUAUCAGCUUGUUGGUGGGGUAGUGGCUUACCAAGGCUUUGACGGGUAGCCGGCCUGAGAGGGUGACCGGCCACAUUGGGACUGAGAGACGGCCCAGACUCCUACGGGAGGCAGCAGUGGGGAAUAUUGCACAAUGGGCGGAAGCCUGAUGCAGCAACGCCGCGUGCGGGAUGACGGCCUUCGGGUUGUAAACCGCUUUCGCCUGUGACGAAGCGUGAGUGACGGUAAUGGGUAAAGAAGCACCGGCUAACUACGUG
rnacentral:rRNA from 1 species